CUCUGUGACUCCUACGGGAGGCAGCAGUGGGGGAAUAUUGCACAAUGGGCGCAAGCCUGAUGCAGCAACGCCGUGUGAGUGAAGAAGGUUUUCGGAUCGUAAAACUCUGUCCUAAGGGAAGAAACAAAUGACGGUACCUUAGGAGGAAGCCCCGGCUAACUACGUGCCAGCAGCCGCGGUAAUACGUAGGGGGCAAGCGUUAUCCGGAAUCACUGGGCGUAAAGGGUGCGUAGGCGGCUUAGCAAGCCAGGGGUGAAAGGCAUUGGCUCAACCAAUGUAAGCCUUUGGAACUGUUAAGCUUGAGUGCAGGAGAGGUAAGUGGAAUUCCUAGUGUAGAGGUGAAAUUCGUAGAUAUUAGGAGGAACACCAGUGGCGAAGGCGACUUACUGGACUGUAACUGACGCUGAUGCACGAAAGCGUGGGUAGCGAACAGGAUUAGAUACCCUGGUAA
rnacentral:rRNA from 1 species